GGUGGAAGACUUGGAAUUACUAAACUAUGUACGACAUUCUUUUGGUUCUAGUCAUUUACCUCGGGAUGAUCAAGUAAUUUUCUUGUGAUGGACCAUCCAGAUAAUUGAUUUAAUUUUCAUGGAACUCAAGAAACCUUUUUGUAUCAUUUGUAUAUGUUGUAUUUAUAUGAAAUUCAUAUUUUUGUUUAUGGAUUAGUUCAUAUUUUUAGUAAUAGUAUUUAUAUAUUUGUGCAUUUUAAUUUUCUGACUAUUGUAUGGAUAUUUCAAUUAAUUAUUUAUUGUUUUAAUUGUUAUUUAAUAAGCCAUCAAAAUGAAGAUAAAAUGUUUUAAAUUAAUUUUUUUUUUAAAAAAAACAUACAUAUGCGACAGUUUUCAAAACCGUUGCAGCCCUAUUACUAAUUUCAGAGCUACGUGCAAAAGGAUAUAAGGACGGCUUGUAACCGUUGCAAA
rnacentral:lncRNA from 1 species